CUGAACACCAAAGCAUUACCACUGUCCCACACCUGACAGUAAUAGUCAGCCUCGUCCUCGGCCCGGGCCCCGCUGAUGGUCAGGGUGGCCGUGUUCCCUGAGUUGGUGCCUGAGAAUCGGUCAGGGAUCCCUGAGGGCCGUUGCUAUCAUCAUAGAUAAUCAGCAUGGGGGCCUGGCCCAUCUUCUGCUGGUACCAUUGAACAACUUUCCCUCCAAUGUUGUUUCUACUACCUGUGAUCUGGGCUGUCUGUCCCAGGAUCACUG